GGGAAUGUGGCUCAGUGGUAAAGUGCUUGCCUAACAUGCAUGAAGCCCUGGGUUCGAUUCCUCAGUACCA
rnacentral:tRNA from 1 species